rnacentral:rRNA from 1 species
UACAGAGGGGGCAAGCGUUGUUCGGAAUUACUGGGCGUAAAGGGCGCGUAGGCGGCCCGCUAAGUCGAACGUGAAAUCCCCGGGCUCAACCUGGGAACUGCAUUUGUGACUGCAUAGCUAGAGUACGGUAGAGGGGGAUGGAAUUCCGCGUGUAGCAGUGAAAUGCGUAGAUAUGCGGAGGAACACCGAUGGCGAAGGCAAUCCCCUGGACCUGUACUGACGCUCAUGCACGAAAGCGUGGGGAGCAAACAGG